CAAAACACAGGGAGCAACUGGGCGUGAGAACUACUGUAAAAACAAGUAGUCCUCAGUGGGUACCGCCCUCAACAUCAUCGGCUUACCCACUAAAACUACAGUAGGAAACAAGGCUGGAAAGUAAAGCUGGAAAGAAAUCUACAGCUAUAUGCCACUACACUAUUCUACUGUAUCUAAUAUGCACUUGACCCAAUCGCAUUUCAAACUGAUUCACCACAAAUCUCAUUUGAGCUGUCCAAACGGACCCACUCUGCCUGUAAUCAGCUAUGCUGUACACCACCCCGCAAGUGGCCGGCGCAUAACUAUUUAACAGAAACUGCGACACCGAUCGCACUGAAACAUCAUUCCGGAAUGGCUCUCGUGGGCGCGACCCAACGAGAUUACUGUCAAUCUCAGGCUGCCCUCACAGGCUAAGUCAAGCAAUAGGUCUCACUGAACCACUAACCACUAUCCACGUGCCCUCGGCACAAUCAAAUCUCAAAAUGAUCAAAUCCGGGUCCACCGUCAACCACGACGGCACCCACUAGUCCAGAACAGUCUAAACAUGACUAUAAAAUAAACUCGGCAUCCCAGCACGAGUGUAACAGUAAACUAAACUACCUGGGGUACUCACAACCCGAAUACAACAACUGUAUAAAAAUACAACGGCCCCUAAGGCUAAAUCAGGUAAUUCCACAUAUGCCAGGUUCCGAACGCUGGUUUUCUCCUAUGUUUUAUCCAAGUCCCAUAUGUAUGAUUAAUAACAACUAAUAACAUGCUCCCAAUUCAGUUUAUAUGUCUAAAACAUACCUACUCAUGAAUUUGAGCUAAACAAUAACAACUUAUAAUAUUAACGAUACAUGUCGAUGAACAAUAUUAU
rnacentral:lncRNA from 1 species